AGAGUUUGAUCCUGGCUCAGGACGAACGCUGGCGGCGUGCCUAACACAUGCAAGUCGAGCGGGGACACUCGCAAGGGUGUUCUAGCGGCGGACGGGUGAGUAACGCGUGAGCAAUCUGUCUUUCACAGGGGAAUAACAGCUCGAAAGAGAUGCUAAUACCGCAUGAGACCACGGCGACGAGUGUUGCAGAGGUCAAAGGAGCAAUCCGGUGAAAGAAGAGCUCGCGUCCCAUUAGAUAGUUGGCGGUGUAACGGACCACCAAGUCGACGAUGGGUAGCCGGCCUGAGAGGGCGAACGGCCACACUGGGACUGAGACACGGCCCAGACUCCUACGGGAGGCAGCAGUGGGGAAUAUUGGACAAUGGGCGAAAGCCUGAUCCAGCAACGCCGCGUGAGGGAAGAAGGUUCUCGGAUUGUAAACCUCUGUCCCAUGGGAAGAAGGAAGUGACGGUACCAUGGGAGGAAGCCCCGGCUAACUACGUGCCAGCAGCCGCGGUAAUACGUAAGGGGCGAGCGUUGUCCGGAAUGACUGGGCGUAAAGGGCGCGUAGGUGGCUGAACAAGUCUCCCGUGAAAGUCCCCUUUUCAAGGGGGGAAUUGCGGGGGAAACUGCUUGGCUUGAGUGCCGGAGAGGAAAGCGGAAUUCCCAGUGUAGCGGUGAAAUGCGUAGAGAUUGGGAGGAACACCAGUGGCGAAGGCGGCUUUCUGGACGGUAACUGACGCUGAGGCGCGAAAGUGUGGGGAGCAAACAGGAUUAGAUACCCUGGUAGUCCACACUGUAAACGAUGGAUGCUAGGUGUAGGGGGUAUCGACCCCUCCUGUGCCGGAGUAAACACAAUAAGCAUCCCGCCUGGGGAGUCACGGCCGCAAUG
rnacentral:rRNA from 1 species